rnacentral:sRNA from 1 species
AGUAGUAUGCACUUGAUUUCAUCUUGCCACAGGCACCAUUGCCUGGGUGUGGAGCUGCUGCCUGAAGUUGAGGGAACCUAUAAACAUGAAAACAUCCUCAUUUCCUUAUGUCUCAUUUUAUUCACAGAUGAAUAGACCCAGUGCUGCCAACCCUUGUUCUCCAGUGCAGUUCUCUUCCACGCCCUUGGCUGGGUUGGCCCCUAAGAGGCGAGCAGGAGACCCUGGAGAAAUGCCACAGAGUCCCACAGGGCUGGGACAGCCCAAACGGAGAGGGAGACCUCCCAGUAAGUUCUUCAAACAGAUGGAACAGCGUUACCUAACCCAGCUGACAGCCCAGCCUGUCCCACCUGAGAUGUGCUCAGGCUGGUGGUGGAUACGAGAUCCUGAGACGUUGGAUGCCAUGCUCAAGGCCCUACAUCCCCGAGGUAUCCGGGAGAAGGCACUUCACAAACACCUUAACAAGCACAGGGACUUCUUGCAGGAAGUCUGCCUGCGGCCCUCAGCUGACCCCAUCUUUGAGCCCAGGCAACUACCUGCCUUUCAAGAAGGGAUUAUGAGCUGGUCCCCCAAAGAGAAGACAUACGAGACAGACCUAGCAGUGCUUCAAUGGGUAGAGGAGCUGGAGCAGCGGGUUAUCAUGUCUGAUCUGCAGAUUCGGGGCUGGACAUGUCCUAGCCCAGA